GCGCAGCAGGCGCGAAACCUCCGCAAUGCGCGAAAGCGCGACGGGGCCACCCCGAGUGCCGCCCGCUGAGGGCGGCUUUUCCCCGGUGUAGACAGCCGGGGGAAUAAGGGGAGGGCAAGUCUGGUGUCAGCCGCCGCGGUAAUACCAGCUCCCCCGAGUGGUGGGGACGAUUAUUGGGCCUAAAAGCGUCCGUAGCCCGGCCCGGCAAGUCUCCCGUUAAAUCCAGCGAUCUAAUCGCUGGACUGCGGGAGAUACUGUCGGGCUAGGGGGGCGGGAGAGGGCC
rnacentral:rRNA from 1 species